CAAAGUCGGUAUGAGCAGU
rnacentral:miRNA from 1 species